UACGUAGGGGGCGAGCGUUGUCCGAAUUUACUGGGCGUAAAGCGCACGCAGGCGGAUCGAUAAGUCGGGGGUGAAAGCCCGGGGCUCAACCUCGGAAUUGCCUUCGAUACUGUCGGUCUCGAGUCCGGGAGAGGUGAGUGGAAUUCCUAGUGUAGAGGUGAAAUUCGUAGAUAUUAGGAAGAACACCAGUGGCGAAGGCGGCUCACUGGCCCGGUACUGACGCUCAGGUGCGAAAGCGUGGGGAGCAAACAGG
rnacentral:rRNA from 1 species